AUUGAACGCUGGCGGCAGGCUUAACACAUGCAAGUCGAGCGGAGAGAGGUAGCUUGCUACUGAUCUUAGCGGCGGACGGGUGAGCAAUGCUUAGGAAUCUGCCUAUUAGUGGGGGACAACAUUUCGAAAGGAAUGCUAAUACCGCAUACGUCCUACGGGAGAAAGCAGGGGAUCUUCGGACCUUGCGCUAAUAGAUGAGCCUAAGUCGGAUUAGCUAGUUGGUGGGGUAAAGGCCUACCAAGGCGACGAUCUGUAGCGGGUCUGAGAGGAUGAUUCGCCACACUGGGACUGAGACACGGCCCAGACUCCUACGGGAGGCAGCAGUGGGGAAUAUUGGACAAUGGGCGGAAGCCUGAUCCAGCCAUGCCGCGUGUGUGAAGAAGGCCUUAUGGUUGUAAAGCACUUUAAGCGAGGAGGAGGCUACUUUAGUUAAUACCUAGAGAUAGUGGACGUUACUCGCAGAAUAAGCACCGGCUAACUCUGUGCCAGCCGCCGCUGUAACAC
rnacentral:rRNA from 1 species